UACGUAGGGGGCAAGCGUUGUCCGGAUUUAUUGGGCGUAAAGAGCGUGUAGGCGGCCAAGCAGGUCCGCUGUGAAAACUCGAGGCUCAACCUCGAGACGUCGGUUGAAACCGUAUGGCUAGAGUCCGGAAGAGGAGAGUGGAAUUCCCGGUGUAGCGGUGAAAUGCGCAGAUAUCGGGAAGAACACCCGUGGCGCAGGCGGCUCUCUGGGUCGGCCCUGACGCUGAGGCGCGAAAGCGUGGGGAGCGAACGGG
rnacentral:rRNA from 1 species